GAUGAACGCUAGCGACAGGCCUAACACAUGCAAGUCGAGGGGCAGCACAGGUAGCAAUACUGGGUGGCGACCGGCGCACGGGUGCGUAACGCGUAUGCAACCUACCGAUAAUUGGGGGAUAGCCUUCCGAAAGGAAGAUCAACACAGCAUAAGACAAGAUCUUCGAAGGGACAAGCUGUGCAAUAUUUAUAGAUUAUAGGUGGGCAUGCGUCUGAUUAGAUAGUUGUUAAGGUAACGGCUUACCAAGUCUGCGAUCAGUAGGGGUUCUGAGAGGAAGGUCCCCCACACCGGAACUGAGACACGGUCCGGACUCCUACGGGAGGCAGCAGUGAGGAAUAUUGGUCAAUGGGCGAGAGCCUGAACCAGCCAAGUCGCGUGAAGGAAGACGGCCCUACGGGUUGUAAACUUCUUUUAUAGGGGAAUAAAAAAGAGUACGUGUACUCUCUUGUAGGUACCCUACGAAUAAGGAUCGGCUAACUCCGUGCCAGCCGCCGCGGUAAUAC
rnacentral:rRNA from 1 species